GGAGGAGCUGCGGCGCGGUAAGAUCGCUGGAUCACCAGCGGCUACUAAUCUGCGCUAUCCAGGCGCUGGCCGUGUUUACAUGUCGACAGAGACCAGGCUGAGAGCGUCGGUUGUCUGGACCUUGUAGCAGGAGUCUUGUCUGACAGCUGGGAGGGGAGGCGGAAGAUGUUUGGCCUGUUGUCGUGCCACUGAAAUCCACGUCAAGUCGGGUCAUGACGUCCGAGUGUGAUAGCAGUUUGCUGGGCCGGGACCCUCGGAGGUGAGGUGUUUGGUGAGGAGAUGGCACAUGGAUCCGCUCGCCUUACAUGACGGUUCAGAAGAAGUGCUCCUGUAUCACAACCAUCGUCGGCUGCUCAUUACAGUGACAUUCAUGUGGAUAUUGUCAAUGACCGGAGGAGUUUACUCCUCUCUUGUGUGAGAGGCCGUGAGGUGGCGGCUCUCGCAGAAAGAGCCAAGGCAGACAGGAUCGCAGCGUCAUCGUUUUCAAAGCUGUGGCUGGCUGAGGCGAGCUGCGUGUCCCGCAGGGGUGGGACGGAAACCUAGCAGCCGAAAGCAAGGACGCGUGGACCGGUGGAGGGGCAGUGACAUUUCUUCAUCUGAACCUUGAUGUUGUGUCUUGUGACUGCCGCGGCGUGGGAGACUGUGAGAAAUCGACAGCCAUUGAAGUGAGCUGAUGCUGGUUGCUGGGAGGUGGACGCAGCUCAAGUGCAGAACCCAGCUCUGAAGGAUGCCACACAUCACAUGUCAGAGUGAGGCCCGGAUGUUUGCUGAGUCUAAUCAGCACUUUCCUGUCAGUGUGAUGAGUCGAGAGAGAAACGCUGGAGAGCGUGAGGGGAGGAAGCCGUCUGGACUAUAAUCAAGUCCACCACAAACAGGAAGUCCAAGUCUGCGGAAGCUCCAGCUGUUGUGUUUGGGCUGCCGAGCCGCUUCAAUCACAGCGGAAUGAGUCGCUCACACACCCACCUUCCAGUGUCUCCAGCCUCCCAAAAUGGUGGGUGGAGAUGAUCCGUGUCGCCACUGUCCUGCCGGCUCCGUCUUGUUGGUCUCCGUGUCCUGGGUGAGUGUGCGAUGGCAGCAGAGGCAGCGUCUGGGAGGAGGAGGACGGGACUCGCAACAGUUGGAAACCUGUCUGGAGGAGACUGCUGUUCAACCAAGGCUUGAGAGGAAUGAAGCAAAAAGACGUCAGUGUCUGUCUCUUCUCACUGUCAGCUGUAAAAGAUGUCAUAUGGAAUAUGGCGGGACAGAAUGUGCGAAAAAUAAUCUCCAAUUGUGGAUGCAGUUUGUAUGAUUUCCAAUGCUUUAUAUGGACGGUGAAGAAAAUGGUGAAAUAAGGAUCCUUUUUUAAAUGCUAUUUUUUAAUGCUGGACACAAAGUAAUGGGUUCAUGAGGGCCUGCAUGAAUUUGAUCAACUGUUUUAUCAUCAUUGUAAUAAUAAUUAUGAUCAUUAUUUCUGUCAUGUGGAGUAAGAAAGGUGAAGAAAAAACCUCUUGCACAACGAUGUGAGACAAAUGUUCUUUAAUAAUUUGAUUAAAACAAAGCAUAAGAUGAUGAUGAACAAAGGCUCAACAAAAUUCAAGGAGAAAAUGAAAAAUAUUGUAAUAAAAAAACUCAGAGAAAUGUAUAGUCCACGUAUGGAAAUUGUUGACAAUGAGAAUUCUGAAAAUCUUUAUACAAUACUUCAAGUUCAACUUCUAAGCAAGUGACAGUCAUAUUGAGGGAUUAAAUACAAAGUUAUGAGUAGGAAAAAAAAGCAAUAUUGCUUCACAAAACAUUGAUAAAUCAGCAAAGGUUAAGCCAACAAUACAGUGGUUUUCAAUGUGACCAACAAUGAAAUGUAAAAUAUUGACAGAUUCAUUGCAUUACGAAUAUGAAAAUGCUUAUUAAUAGUGACUAAACACAACCCUUGGCGGCUGACAGACUGAUACUGAGGGAAGCCAGGCUGAAGGUGAUAUG